rnacentral:rRNA from 1 species
UACGUAGGUGGCAAGCGUUGUCCGGAAUUAUUGGGCGUAAAGCGCGCGCAGGCGGUCUCUUAAGUCUGAUGUGAAAUCUCGCGGCUCAACCGUGAGCGGUCAUUGGAAACUGGGAGACUUGAGUGCAGAAGAGAAGAGCGGAAUUCCACGUGUAGCGGUGAAAUGCGUAGAGAUGUGGGGGAACACCAGUGGCGAAGGCGGGCUCUUUGGUCUGUAACUGACGCUGAGGCGCGAAAGCGUGGGGAGCGAAC